rnacentral:rRNA from 1 species
UACGUAGGGGGCUAGCGUUAUCCGGAAUUACUGGGCGUAAAGGGUGCGUAGGCGGUCUUUCAAGCCAGAAGUGAAAGGCUACGGCUCAACCGUAGUAAGCUUUUGGAACUGUAAGACUUGAGUGCAGGAGAGGAGAGUGGAAUUCCUAGUGUAGCGGUGAAAUGCGUAGAUAUUAGGAGGAACACCAGUAGCGAAGGCAGCUCUCUGGGCUGUAACUGACGCUGAGGCACGAAAGCGUGGGGAGCAAACAGGAUUAGAUACCCUGGUAGU